UAUCUUCAGGGCUCCAGAGUAGACUGAUUCUGGGUUGUGGAUACAUAGAAUCAUUCUGGACUCUGAUUUACUUUACCCAUCUAUGCUCAAAGCAUUGUAGGUUUGGGGUGCAGAGCCAUGUAACUGUGAUCAGUUCAUUUUUUUCCACUUCACAUUAUUAAAAUUCCUUCUGGAGGGUUGCAGUGACUCGGAAAAGGAGUGAAUUUGAAGUUGAAACUAGAAAAGUCUACCAGGAAUAUUGAACACUGUGCAAGACGGCAGCAAUGGUUAUGGCUGUGAAGCCAAUAAGAAUGGUAUUUUUCAUAGGUUUCCAGAAGCCUGCAAGGCCAAGCGGAAGGUAGGAGCUGCCAUCCUAUGCGUGUCUUGGAUUUGUGAGUAGAAAUGGCUUUUUGAGAAGGAAGAAAGAAAAGGAAAAUUCUUUUACUGAAAGAACCCUAGGGAGCUGGGCCAGAAUGAAAUUCAACUAAUUGUAAUACCCAGCUGAGAUUAGAAGCCCUGUUCUAUAGCCCACGAGAAGAGGCAAUUUUAGACAGCAGCAAUACUGAAUUAUCCUUUCAAGUUGUCUGUCUCUCAGCAUUGACUUAUGUAGGGACCCUUCGUUGAUGGGGCUCUUAAUUAGGCACCCCAGAGAAAUUCCUGAAGUUGUUGAGGUGAAUUUGGGUCUCAGUGAGAUUUAACUUUUUCAAUUUGCCCUCCUGUAUAUAGUAAAAGAAAUAUAAAGAAAUAUACAGAAGAAUAUUGUAACAUUUAAAUUCAUUAGAAAGCUGUAUUUCUAGUCUUGGGAAUGGAUCACUAACUCUGCUAAACAUCUUACUUUGCGAGGUUAAGUGGUUGAGACAAAGCAUGGAACUGGAGUUUUUUUUCCAGUUGAUUUUCAUUUGUGCUACUUUCAUUACUUUUGAACAUAAUUUUACAGUCAGAAGUUAAACUUUUCCUUUUAUAUAUCAUAGUUGAUGAGUGUAUCAUAUUUGAUGCUAUGCAGAAAUAUUAUUUGAUUUGGAUGACUGUCUUAAAGAGAAACAGAGGUGACAGUACUGCUAACCUGUACUAGCAGCUGUAGAGACCUGAAAUAAAAGAGGGAUAUUCAUUAAAUAAUAAUACAUGAGAAUAAACAUCCUCUUACAAGAAGAGUGGAUAUUUUCUUUUUCAGCAGCCCAAGGUUUUGCAAAGUUUUGCUUUAAGUUUGGAGUGUACUUUACUCAUUCUCAAUCUUGUUCUGUCUAAACUCCAAGUCUGGAUUGCUGAAUUUCUAAUUAAAAUUUUUCCUUUUUGUUUAGGUGUUAGGAUCCCCUGGUAAGUCUGCAGAAUGGCAAGAGUUGGAUUAUUUUCAGAACAGGCUUUCCAGAUUAGUUCUUGGAGCCUGGAAUAUGCAUCUCCUUGCAGAUAGCAGUUUUUUUUUCUCUUCAGCAGUGACCUCCCAAAGAAAUUCUGUCACAGAGAAGACAUUUCUGUGGGAAGGAGGAGGAAUGUGAACUGGUGUAUCCUGAUAGGUUGCUGCUACAGAAUUAUUAUUAGCAGGACGUCUAAGCCUCUGUGCUGGCAGUUCAUGGUCUUGUUCUCCUUCAGAACAUCUUUUGGCUUAAAGAAUAAUUUUUGACCAUGGCAGGAAGGCUGUAAGUGAAGGGAACUGGUGUUUAUAAUUAAAAAAAAAAAAAUCUUGCUGAAAACCUCUCUUGAGUGUUUUGACUUCAUUAUAGAUAAAUGACUGUGUGGUGUUUGCAUUGCUAUAGCUGACUUUUUUCUUCUGCAAAGUGGAAGCUGAGUUUUUUAGAUGUAGUUAAGAAAUUGAUCCUGUACUGUCUAUGGAUUGGAAUUAAGGCUAUUAACCUCAAGAAUUUAGUGCUUUAAAUACACUGAGUAUUUAAAGUGAAAAAGAAAAGCUAUAUGGGUUUAUUUGUUUUUCUGGCACGGUUACUGGAGCUAUCUGAAUUUCUUUGGAUAUCUCUACCCAGCACUUAAUUGUGUGGUUAAGUGAGUGUCAGCUACUGGGUGGGUUCCUAAGCAUAGUUUUAUCUACUCACUAGUUUUGGCUGGGAGCUUGUACUCAUUUUAGUACUGUGCAUUACUGGCCUGGAUUUGCCAUAUUCUGAGCCUGCCCAAGUGCUGAUACUCAGCUCUGAGCUGGUUGGAGCAAUGGCUGAAGGAACUAUUUACAGUGGUAUGGAAGGGCAGGCAGUAAAUUCAUAAUUCAUACCAAAUAGAUUAUAGGAAAUCUGGGACAGCAUGCAUGAUGUGGAUGGGGAGCCUGGGUAACUAAUACAACAAGGGACGUCGGAGAGAUUAUUCUUAAUGGUUUGCACCAUUGGUCAUUCUGUUGUAGAUCUUCAACGGAAGAAACUGAUAAAGGGGCAACACUGGCUGAAAUGCUUUUUUUCCUAAUCAUGCCUAGCUGUCUAGCCAACACUGUAUGGCUCCUUCUGUCGGAGUUGUCUUGCAGACCUACUUGCUCCUAUAUGUUUGUACUUCAUUUUUUUGCUUUCUCUGUGUAUAGGUGGCUGCUGCUAAUUCUCCUUUGAUGCUAAUGUACCAACUCAGCUUGAAAAAAUCUGUUAAUUACUCAGGAAAGAGUUCUUGCUGCCACUAGUGUACUGGGUAAUGUUUUCAGGAUUUUCUCCACGGUUGUGGACUACAGAGGAGUGAGUGUUGAGGUAUCUAAGGUAGUUACAACUAAGUUAAUUUCAGUAUAAGAGUUAAUGCAGUUUGGAAGUCUAUGGAGGUUAUUGUUGACAUUGCUUAGAUUAGCUUGGAAAGAGUUGUGUGCUCUGGAAUAAGACUGCUCUUGGUACUCACACUGGCCUUUAAUGCUGCUUUGUAUCUUUUAAGACUGCAUGUAGGUUAGACAUACAUUUGUCACCCUUCCCUUACCAUCUCUUCUGUGUUUUAAUCUUAAUUGAGGAGUGUAAAGAUGUUCUCCUACUACUUGCCCAACUUCUAACAAUCAGAAGGCAUCUUACUUUUCCCCAUACAAAGCAUAUCCUUGAGCAUAUUGAUCUGUGGAUUCCUCCUUCGUGCUAGGAUGUCUAAUAGUUCCUCAACUCAGUGCUAUGAUUUAGGACACAAGUCCUUUUCUAUCCUGCACUAAUGAACACUUUGGAAGGUGUACUGUUGUACUGGUGAUUCUUGGAGUGUGUGGGGAGGAGGGAGGCAAGAAGAUGUGUAUAUUCCACACAGACCCAUAUAUGUUUCCCCAUAGAGAAUUCCCAAUCAGCUCUUUUUCCAGGAUUCUAUGUUUCCCAUGCAAAAAAUCAUGUGUCAGCUAUCCACCCCCCCAGCCUGAAUGUGAUCAGUGCAGAAACGUAGAGCUAUUACGUUCAGUUUAUCAGCACUUUGUAAUGUUCACCUUCUUCCUUCCAGUAGGUCUUGAUUAUGUAAUUUUCUCAAUUAUACUGUGUUUUCUUUCCUUUUUUAAAAGCAAGCAUUUUAGCAUGUUUUUAGUCCUCCAUUGAUUAGAGGAAUUAAAUCAAGACCACUUAAAAUGGCUGUGCAGGAAUAUUCAGCAUCUACGGAACUGUUUUUGGUAAGUAUUCAUAAGAGUCAGGCAUGUUAACUUGCUUGGAACUGAAAGCAUGUGAAUGAUGGUAAAAGAGCUGCAGUCCAGUUAGAAUGGACACUUUUUGUUGGUGCACAGCUGCAGGACUGCUGUGGCAUUGUCACAUGCCAUGCCAAAGGAUGAGAUGCUGAAUGUACCGGUAUCCUGCAGAGCCAACUUAAUCAUUCUGUGAUUUCAUCGUGCUGAGAUUGCCUCAUAUCUCUGAGGAAGACAAUAGAAUCUGGAAAAGUCACAGGCAAAAAUAUUGUGCAUCUCCCAAGCAAGCAGAUCUCUGCUGUUUCCUACUCCAUCAUGACCUGAAAGGAAGAAGCAAAUUAUGAUAGUGUCUCGGUAUUGGUUUUAAAUAACUCUUCCACUCAAUUUGUGAUUGCUAUCUUCAUUAAGCUCAAGAGUGCAAUAGUAAGAGAGACUGCUGCCUUAAAAGGUUCCUUGGCACUGGUUUUUCCAUGCAUGGAAGCACAUCCGGUAUGACCAUUGGAGAAGAAAGCAAGUGUGCUGUGUCCUGGCCUACUGCCUUUGAACUGCUUGCUACAGGUUUUGCCGGCAAAACAGUACCAGCUGAUGAUGAUAUGGCAUGAUAUGGAUGCCCACUGGACAUGGGCUGCAUCAGAUGGCUUAUUUCACAUGGUGAUACUUUUGGUAUGACUUUUCCUUGUGCAGCUAACUCCUUGAGCAUGCCUGGUGCCUGCUGACAGAGGGCACCUGCAGUUGCAUAUGCCUCUCGAUGAGCUGAAGGGAGCUGAUGAUGACUUGGGUCUGAGAGCUGAAGCAAGUGCAAUGAGUUGUGCACACAACUGUGGGAAGGACAGAUCUGCUCGUUCAUCCUCCUUCACCUCUUUACAUUCUUCUCUGGCCUAUGAAAUCUGAUGACUUCUGUAAUUUUCAAGCACCUCCACCCUUUCCUUGUCUGGCAGGUAUCGCUUUGUAUUCCCUGAAGUGAUGAUGGGAUUAUGUCAAAGGUAUCAAAGGAGAUGGCUUUGGCCGCAGUCAGCAGUGAUAGUAAAAAGUUGCAAGUCAGAUUUUGUUAUCCAUCUGCUGCACAUCCAGGCCCCAGGGAUGGAAUAUACAUUUGAAUGUUUCAGAAAAUAUUCCACAUAACUGUGUCAUAGGAAUAACCUUUUUCAAAAUCCCAAGCACCGAGGUGUUUGCAAUUGCCUGCCUAAUAUGUACUUUUCUGAUUGUUCCAUUCUGCUCUGUGCUCUGAAACAACAGACCCAUUUUCAGCAAGUAGAAGCAGGUCCUGCCCUGACCUUGGGGAUGCAAGCAGCUAGGAGCAGGGCAGUGUACCUCUAUGUAGCAGUGAGGCCAGUAGAAAUAAGCAGAAGUCAAGUACCAAAAAGCUUACACAAUUAUUUGUAUUUCCUCCCUGUGGGGGAGGAAAAAAAAAAAAGAAAUGUGGCUUUCUUGAUUCUUUGCAGAUUUUUUCUUAAAUUUCAUUUUUUACAGAUGAAAACGAUGGUAGAUUCUAAGUCUCUCUUGAAAAUGAAGACAGUUUCCAGAUAAUGUGUGUUUUCCAUACAGCAGGUUACCUCCACCAUGUCAGCAUCUCUUCUGCUCCUGGUAAAGACAACUUCAAUUUGACACUCUCAUCUCAGAGAGAGGAGCAAUAUAUUUUAGCUGUGGUAUCCAGUUGGUGGGCACUCUGAGGAGACUGUGGCUGUCCCAGUCUGCCACAGCCUGACUGGGAGAUUCCCACCUGUGGGAGACGACUGGUUUUAUUCCUUAUUCAUCUCACCCUGUCUAUGCUCAGAAAGCAUCAAUACUUCUGCAUUAUGGCCUUGUAUGAAGCCAGUCACUUUUGCAUGUCAAGUAUCAAAAGGAAACGUAUAAAAAGAAUGGGAAGCAUGGUAAGAUGUCAGGGAAAGGAAAACAAAGGAGUGACAUGAAGAACAUUGCAUCUCUUUGGGGGUGACUUCACUGAGAUGCAGAUUGAAGGGAGAGACUCUCUUACUGCUGCUCCUCAGAACUCAAAGAUUAAAUAUUGCUUUGCUGGAGGCCAGUUCUCCCUGUCUGCAUCCAUAUAGAGAUAAUUUGUUUCAGUGUGCAGGGACAUAUCCUACAAUAUUGAAGUUGAUGGGAAUUUUGCUGCUGAACAAUGCAAAAACUUUGCACUUCUAUCUCUGGUAAUUGAUGUCACCAAGAGUUUGGAGCAGUUCUGCUCUUUCCUUACAGAAAUCUCAUUCUGUAUUUUCUUAUUUGUGCCUAAUGCCUCCAUUGUGAAUGGCAUUUCACCAUGCUGUUGCCCAGGGUGUUGUCUCUCAUGAAUUCAGGGAGUAAGCGAUGCACUGGAAAGGCAUGUGAUACCAGAACCCACAGGCAAAGAAGUCAUUAAGACAGCAGAGUAGAAGAGGACACAUGGAGGAGAAAAAAAACAAAACAAAACACAAUUUAACAAAGUAGGUGCCUCUGAACAAGAAAUAGGAGCUUGGAAGAGGGUUUAGGUGAACUCACAGCCUGGAACAGCCAUGGCUAAAACUGGAUCCUGGAAGUGUUGCUGUCUCAGCUGCUCAUUCCUCUCUGGCACCUUUCCAGUGCAGAUGGUGCAGCUGAGGCUGCAUGGCCUCAGGCAGAGUGCUGCAGCAGCAUGCUGUUAGCUGGCCUACCAAAAGGCAUUUUUUCUAACUCUUUUUUUUUUUUUUUCCCCCCUGUCUGUUCAGUAUCAGUUAUGCUCUAGCUCUGGACUUACUGUUCUCCAUGGGUUGAAUACAGAGAGGAUUCAGACUCUAAUGCCAACAGAGCGCACCUUUCCUUGUCUCUGGAUGUCAGUCCGACAGCAGAAUAAUUUUAGGAGUGUUAACGUGAUGUCACAGAGUUUGAACAGCAGCAAAGCUGAGACCCAAAGACAGAAAUAUGCAGUCUGUCUCAGGACGUGCUGAGACAUCCCCCUGCAGCUGUAUGAGCUAUCAGCUCAUCUUGCUCUUUCACCAGAGACAACCUCUGAGAGGUAACUUUGCCUUCAGACUUCAGUCGUGUAUUGUCUGCUCUCAGCCAGUGUCAGAAGGCCCAGAGCUCUCUGUCGGUCUUCUGGGAGCAUCGAUCCACUCACCGCAGCUAAGCACAGCAUAUGAAGCCUUUCCUUCCCUUGCACGUGUUCUCUCUCUCUCGGAGA